rnacentral:tRNA from 3 species
CGGGGCGUCGUAUACCGGUAGUACGCAUGGUUUGGGACCAUGUAGACUGGGUUCAAUUCCCAGCGCCCCGACCG